GGGUAUGUUGGAUCCUUGCUUGCGCAACGAAAACACCUCCCACAUGUCUGUCCAGUAAAUUGCCCGCCAUCUCAUAUCGGUUGUCCCUAUCUCGGUUGCCUGUGUUACGUACCUAUCUCGAAGGUAUUGCGUUGCCUAACAAUGACCCUAUUCCGCCCGAAGCUGUAACGAUGCUUGUGGCCGAAGGUGGAACCAAAAGAGCACAUCGUGUUCCUCCCGUCCACGUUUGUCGUGGAGGGUCUUGGCCCAUGAUGAAGUUCUCGAAUUCUCGGAUGCGGAAAAUUCGGUGGGUACAAGGACGCAUGUCCUUCAUUUUGCCCCGAUAAAGAAGCCCUCGACGCUUCGUGCGGUAGACGGUCUUCCUCGUGCUUGGUCG
rnacentral:misc_RNA from 1 species